UAUGCGUCGCAUGUGGCGCCCGGUAGACCUAACAACGAAGAAGCACAAAAAGGCGUAACUUGUUUGUCGUCUGCUUUUAAAGAACAGACGGCACGCACGCGCCUCAAUCAUGGCGUACGACGGAAAAGGACGCAGCGGGACCUCCGAAAACGCUUAACUGCGCCGAUUCCCACUCGAAGACCCUGGAUUCAGCAGAGGCUUGGUGAUGCCCGCGUACCUGUAGCUCUCCACGAACUUCGAAUGACAAUUGCGGUUGCUAUAGUCAGCGAUCGUCGAAGUCGUCUCCUCCUAACUGGCCUGUUCGAAAGCGCCGUUUGCUCACCCAAAUGCGCGCAGCAGACGAUCGCAAAGUCGAACGCGAGCACACUUCCCGCGUGUGGUGACCCGCGCCUUCGCGUCCGUCUCCGCACCACUCGCGGCGCAAGAGCGAAGCCUGCUGUUAACAGCGCAAAAUGUAGACAAGAGACUAGACAAGAGGACACAUGAUGACAUGAUGACAUGACCUGAUGAGCGAUCACGUGACUGCGACACGUGUGGGCAAUGAUUAUAA